UAAAUACUCCCUCCGUUCCAAAUUACUUGUCGCACAUAUGGAUGUAUCUAGAUGUAUUUUAGUUCUAGAUACAUCCAUUUCAGCAACAAGUAAUUUGGAACGGAGGGAGUAUUUG
rnacentral:pre_miRNA from 1 species